AUGGAUGCACGUGCAAAUUUAUUUUAUUGUAAGAAUGUGUUUUCGAAAACGAGUUUCAGGAAAAACGGGUCUUGAAGAAUCUCUACCAAGCAGGGUCAUUUUCAACAAAAACAAGACUGCAAAGGAUAGAAUUCUUGAGCUUGAAAUCUGGAGCAAGGGAAACAAAUUUUAAAUCCAAGCACUGAUCGAUUCACGCUAAGCAUCAUAUAUAUUUAAUUAUAAAUUUCAAGUUUAUGUAAUCAAUUCUAUAUUUUACUCUUUUACUUUAAAGUUACCCCUUUUCAUUUUUUCAAAUUUCAUCACAAUAAUCUAUCCUUAUUUCAUAGUUUCACUUUAAGGCGUCAAACUCACACUAACAACAGCGGAUGAUGCGUCGUUACUUAAGCUUUCAACUGCGACCUCAUCGGAUUCUCUGUCCACGUCAUCACCGACAUUGAGAUCAUUCAAUGAGCUACCAAUAUAUGAAUUGGCCGCCGUCCUCAAAUCAUAGUGCUCCACCGGAACCCUACUCCCCAUUCACUUCACUGCCCUACAGAAAAACCAUUUCUAAUCAUGCACUGAUUAGUGAUUAUCCAUGUGAAGAAAAGAGGGUUUAACGGCUACACAGACCUGUUUACCUUAGUGUGCCGAGCCUGUCGCUAGAUUAGUAAAAACCCCAAAGCAAGAAACCUAGCCCGCCCACUGAUGUCCGUACCAGCUUCCAAGCCGGCAAACUCGCUUUGCAGAAAUUUCAGAAGAGAGAGAGAGAAAGGGUGGAUCGGAUGCUAUAUGAAGUUUACUUUUCUUUUUCCGUUUUUUCUUUUUUCUUACUUUUAUUUCAACCCCAAC
rnacentral:lncRNA from 1 species